rnacentral:rRNA from 1 species
GACGAACGCUGGCGGCGUGCUUAACACAUGCAAGUCGAACGGAAAGGCCCUGCUUUUGUGGGGUGCUCGAGUGGCGAACGGGUGCGUAACACGUGAGUAACCUGCCCUUGACUUUGGGAUAACUUCAGGAAACUGGGGCUAAUACCGGAUAGGAGCUCCUGCUGCAUGGUGGGGGUUGGAAAGUUUCGGCGGUUGGGGAUGGACUCGCGGCUUAUCAGCUUGUUGGUGGGGUAGUGGCUUACCAAGGCUUUGACGGGUAGCCGGCCUGAGAGGGUGACCGGCCACAUUGGGACUGAGAUACGGCACAGACUCCUACGGGAGGCAGCAGUGGGGAAUAUUGCACAAUGGGCGGAAGCCUGAUGCAGCAACGCCGCGUGCGGGAUGACGGCCUUCGGGUUGUAAACCGCUUUCGCCUGUGACGAAGCGUGAGUGACGGUAAUGGGUAAAGAAGCACCGGCUAACUACGUG